CGCGUUGGGAGCUCUCCAUAUGGUCGACCUGCAGGCGGCCGCGAAUUCACUAGUGAUUCGUAUUACCGCGGCUGCUGGCACAGAGUUAGCCGGUGCUUAUUCUGCGGGUACCGUCAUAGCAACGAGUUAUUCGCUCGUUACCUUUCUUCCCCACCUAAAGUGCUUUACAACCCGAAGGCCUUCUUCACACACGCGGCAUCGCUGGAUCAGGGUUUCCCCCAUUGUCCAAGAUUCCCCACUGCUGCCUCCCGUAGGAGUCUGGGCCGUGUCUCAGUCCCAGUGUGGCUGGUCAUCCUCUCAGACCAGCUACGGAUCGUCGCCUUGGUAGGCUUUUACCCCACCAACUAGCUAAUCCGACGUAGGCUCACCCCAGAGCGCAAGGCCUUUCGGUCCCCUGCUUUUGAUCUCUCGAUAUCAUGUGGUAUUAGCCCGAGUUUCCUCGGGUUAUCCCACGCUCCAGGACAGAUUCCUACGUGUUACUCACCCGUCCGCCACUCGCCACCCCAUAAAGACCGAAAUCUUUACUGUGCUGCCGUUCGACUUGCAUGUGUUAGGCAUGCCGCCAGCGUUCAAUCUGAGCCAUGAUCAAACUCUAAUCGAAUUCCCGCGGCCGC
rnacentral:rRNA from 1 species